UGCCAGCCUCAUGUCUCAUCCUGUGACUA
rnacentral:piRNA from 1 species